UACACUCCUGCGGGAGGCAGCAGUGGGGAAUUUUGGACAAUGGGCGAAAGCCUGAUCCAGCCAUGCCGCGUGCAGGAUGAAGGCCUUCGGGUUGUAAACUGCUUUUGUACGGAACGAAACGGCCUUUUCUAAUAAAGAGGGCUAAUGACGGUACCGUAAGAAUAAGCACCGGCUAACUACGUGCCAGCAGCCGCGGUAAUACGUAGGGUGCAAGCGUUAAUCGGAAUUACUGGGCGUAAAGCGUGCGCAGGCGGUUAUGUAAGACAGUUGUGAAAUCCCCGGGCUCAACCUGGGAACUGCAUCUGUGACUGCAUAGCUAGAGUACGGUAGAGGGGGAUGGAAUUCCGCGUGUAGCAGUGAAAUGCGUAGAUAUGCGGAGGAACACCGAUGGCGAAGGCAAUCCCCUGGACCUGUACUGACGCUCAUGCACGAAAGCGUGGGGAGCAAACAGGAUUAGAUACCCGAGUAGUCC
rnacentral:rRNA from 1 species